rnacentral:rRNA from 1 species
UACGUAGGUGGCAAGCGUUGUCCGGAAUUAUUGGGCGUAAAGCGCGCGCAGGCGGUUUCUUAAGUCUGAUGUGAAAGCCCCCGGCUCAACCGGGGAGGGUCAUUGGAAACUGGGGAGACUUGAGUGCAGAAGAGGAAGGUGGAAUUCCAAGUGUAGCGGUGAAAUGCGUAGAGAUUUGGAGGAACACCAGUGGCGAAGGCGACUUUCUGGUCUGUAACUGACACUGAGGCGCGAAAGCGUGGGGAGCAAACAGG